GACGAACGCUGGCGGCGUGCCUAAUACAUGCAAGUCGAGCGGGCCUCCGGAGGUGCUUGCACCUCCGGAAGGCCAGCGGCGGACGGGUGAGUAACACGUGGGCAACCUGCCUUUGAGGCCGGGAUAACACCGGGAAACCGGUGCUAAUACCGGAUGCGUCCGCUUUCGCGCCUGCGAGAGGGGAGAAAGACGGUCUUUAAGGCCGUCGCUCAAAGAGGGGCCCGCGGCGCAUUAGCUGGUUGGUGGGGUAAGGGCCUACCAAGGCGACGAUGCGUUGCCGACCUGAGAGGGUGAUCGGCCACACUGGGACUGAGACACGGCCCAGACUCCUGCGGGAGGCAGCAGUAGGGAAUCAUCCGCAAUGGGCGAAAGCCCGACGGUGCAACGCCGCGUGAGUGAGGAAGGUUUUCGGAUCGUAAAGCUCUGUUGUGAGGGAAGAACAGCUUCCGGAGGAAAUGCCGGGAGCCUGCCGGUACCUCACCAGAAAGCCCCGGCUAACUACGUGCCAGCCGCCGCAGUAAGAC
rnacentral:rRNA from 1 species